AUGUUGCUGACCUCUCUCUCUCACUCUGUGUGUGUGUGUGUGUGUGUGUGUUGUAACUACUGAACUAAAUAAUUCCUCUUCCUCUCUCUCUCUUUUUUUUCUGAAACAGUGAACAGAGAGGUUUGUUCAGUUUGGUCUCCAUAUUAGAUCACAGUGAGUAAGCCAUUGUAUAACUCAUCACCUAUGAGUCCUUUAUUAAGGUGUGUGUGUGUGUGUGUGUGUGUGUGGUGUAAGUGUGAUGUAACUGAUAUGGAGAAAACCUGUUCACACCUCAUAAUGAUCACAAAAGGAAGACCAAAGUUGAAUCCAGAACUCAGUUUAAGUGCCAAAUCACACUGGUCGUGGGGAGCCUGGAACCCAUCCCAGGGAACUGAAGGCACAAAGUGGAGGACACCCUGGACGGGUCGCCAACCCAUCGCAGGGCACACUCGCACACCCAUUCACACAAUUCAGAAAUGCCAAUCAUCCUACAAUGCACGUCUUUGGACUGGAGGAGGAAACCGGAGUACCCGGAGGAAACCCCGAGGCACGGGGAGAACACGCACACUCCGUGCACACAGGGGGAGGCGGGAUUCGAACCCUCAACCCUGGAGGUGCGAGGCGAACGUGCUAACCACUAAAAGCCACCGACAGGGAGCCAGUGGAGGGAACGCAGGAAUGUGGGAGAACCUGUUCAUGCAGCAGGAUUCUGGAUCAGUUACAGCAAACUACUGAGAGUUGUAGUGGUUCAAUCUCAAAAUGAGACAAGGGACUGCACCAGCAUCUGACUGGUGUCCAUGGAGAAAAGAGGCCGGGUCUUCCUGAUGUUGUAAAGGAGAGAGCGGGAGGACAGAAUGAGUUUGGAUGUCAUCAGCAUAACAGUGGUAUGGAAAGCCAUACAGAGCGGGUAUAAAAGAAAAAAAAGAAAAGAGGACCAAGUAUUGAGGUCUUGUGGGGGUCUAGUUGAGAGUGUGCAUGGAGCAGAUAUUACCUGAUAUGACCAUCACUUUGGGUAUGACUUAAACCUCUAAUUUCUGGUCCAAUAAAUAAAAAGAUUGUUCAAGAAGAUUGUUCAAUAAAUAAAAAGUAUGUUCAAAAAUUUAUCAAGAAGGAUCAGGGGUGAUAAUCUGGCCGAUUUAGCUAUUGAAGUGCAUCAUUUCCGGCAGGUA